GAUCAUGGCUCAGGAUGAACGCUAGCGACAGGCUUAACACAUGCAAGUCGAGGGGCAGCAUAAAAGUAGCAAUACUUGGUGGCGACCGGCGCACGGGUGAGUAACGCGUAUGCAACCUACCUAUCAGAGGGGAAUAACCCGGCGAAAGUCGGACUAAUACCGCAUAAAACAGGGGCACCGCAUGGUGAUAUUUGUUAAAGAAAUUCGCUGAUAGAUGGGCAUGCGUUCCAUUAGGUAGUUGGUGAGGUAACGGCUCACCAAGCCGACGAUGGAUAGGGGAACUGAGAGGUUGGUCCCCCACACUGGUACUGAGACACGGACCAGACUCCUACGGGAGGCAGCAGUGAGGAAUAUUGGUCAAUGGGCGAGAGCCUGAACCAGCCAAGUCGCGUGAAGGAAGAAGGAUCUAUGGUUCGUAAACUUCUUUUGCAGGGGAAUAAAGUGCAGGACGUGUCCUGUUUUGUAUGUACCCUGAGAAUAAGGAUCGGCUAACUCCGUGCCAGCCGCUGC
rnacentral:rRNA from 1 species